CUUGCUUUCGCCCGCCGGCGACCGGCGCACGGGUGAGUAACACGUAUCCAACCUGCCUCAUACUCGGGGAUAGCCUUUCGAAAGAAAGAUUAAUACCCGAUGUUAUAGUCCUACCGCAUGAUGGGAUUAUUAAAGAAUUUCGGUAUGGGAUGGGGAUGCGUUCCAUUAGUUAGUUGGCGGGGUAACGGCCCACCAAGACAACGAUGGAUAGGGGUUCUGAGAGGAAGGUCCCCCACAUUGGAACUGAGACACGGUCCAAACUCCUACGGAAGGCAGCAG
rnacentral:rRNA from 1 species